GUGGGGAAUAUUGGACAAUGGGGGGAACCCUGAUCCAGCCAUGCCGCGUGUGUGAAGAAGGCCUUUUGGUUGUAAAGCACUUUAAGUGGGGAGGAGGCUUACCUGGUUAAUACCUGGGCUAAGUGGACGUUACCCACAGAAUAAGCACCGGCUAACUCUGUGCCAGCAGCCGCGGUAAUACAGAGGGUGCGAGCGUUAAUCGGAUUUACUGGGCGUAAAGCGCGCGUAGGUGGUUAAUUAAGUCAAAUGUGAAAUCCCCGAGCUUAACUUGGGAAUUGCAUUCGAUACUGGUUGGCUAGAGUAUGGGAGAGGAUGGUAGAAUUCCAGGUGUAGCGGUGAAAUGCGUAGAGAUCUGGAGGAAUACCGAUGGCGAAGGCAGUCAUCUGGCCUAAUACUGACACUGAGGUGCGAAAGCAUGGGGAGCAAACAGGAUUAGAUACCCGAGUAGUCC
rnacentral:rRNA from 1 species